rnacentral:rRNA from 1 species
CCUACGGGUGACAGCAGUGAGGAAUAUUGGUCAAUGAGCGAGAGCCUGAACCAGCGAAAUCGCGUGAAGGAUGACGGCCCUACGGGUUGUAAACUUCGUUUGACAGGGAGCAAUUGAGUCCACGUGAGGGCUUAGAGAGAGUACCUGAAGAAACAGCAUCGGCUAACUCCGUGCCAGCAGCCGCGGUCAUACGGAGGAUGCGAGCGUUAUCCGGAUUUAUUGUGUUUAAAGGGUGCGUAGGCGGAAUAUCAAGUCAGCGGUAAAAAUUCGGGGCUCAACCCCGUCGUGCCGUUGAAACUGAUGUUCUUGAGUGGGCGAGAAGUAUGCGGAAUGCGUGGUGUAGCGGUGAAAUGCAUAGAUAUCACGCAGAACUCCGAUUGCGAAGGCAGCAUACCGGCGCCCAACUGACGCUGAAGCACGAAAGCGUGGGUAUCGAACAGGAUUAGAUACCCGAGUAGUC